rnacentral:rRNA from 1 species
GACGAACGCUGGCGGCGUGCUUAACACAUGCAAGUCGAACGGAAAGGUCCUGCUUUUGUGGGGUGCUCGAGUGGCGAACGGGUGAGUAACACGUGAGUAACCUGCCCUUGACUUUGGGAUAACUUCAGGAAGCUGGGGCUAAUACCGGAUAGGAGCUCCUGCUGCAUGGUGGGGGUUGGAAAGUUUCGGCGGUUGGGGAUGGACUCGCGGCUUAUCAGCUUGUUGGUGGGGUAGUGGCUUACCAAGGCUUUGACGGGUAGCCGGCCUGAGAGGGUGACCGGCCACAUUGGGACUGAGAUACGGCCCAGACUCCUACGGGAGGCAGCAGUGGGGAAUAUUGCACAAUGGGCGGAAGCCUGAUGCAGCAACGCCGCGUGCGGGAUGACGGCCUUCGGGUUGUAAACCGCUUUCGCCUGUGACGAAGCGUGAGUGACGGUAAUGGGUAAAGAAGCACCGGCUAACUACGUG